rnacentral:snRNA from 1 species
GUGCUCGCUUCGGCAGCACAUAUACUAAAAUUGGAAAGAUACAGAGAAGAUUAGCAUGGCCCCUGCACAGGAUGACAUGCAAAUUUGUGAAGUUUUCCAUAUGUUU